UCAAUGUGGAUAUCUCAUUUAUAGACGCUGAAACUCCUAUUGGAAUUGGUUAUAUUAUCAGGUCUUCAAAUGGUAACUAUGUAUUUGCAGGAACAGAAUGUGAUUAUGCAAGUUCCGCUGAAGAAGCUGAGUGUAUCCUUUUAGCAGUCAGACAUUGUAUCCGACACCAACUGAAGAACGUAGAAGUGGAAACUGACCACAAAGCAGCAGCAGACUAUUUAAUUGGAAUACCUACAAAUCUGUUUUGGAGUGUUGUUAAUAUUUUAGAAGAGACAAAGAACUGUAGUACAUAUUUUAAUUAUGUAAAGUUUAUGUUCUGUAACAGGUCUGGGAACCAACUUGCUCAUAUCUUGGCUAUGACCAGGGAUACAAGUUGUCUGGUUCCUAUGUCCUACUCUAUCCCCCCUACCUCACUGUUAAGUCAGUUGGAAAGGGAACAACUGUUUUGUAAUUUGGUUAACUCUUAGCUGCAGUAUUUUAAUAUAUUGAUUAUUCAAAAAAAAAAAAAAAAAACAUAUUGAUUUGAUAGCAUUUUGCUCUUUACGAUUUGCCAUUCUCAACAAUCUUGCAAAUAGACAUGUUGAGACUUGAGAGUACUAUAGUAUAUCCUUCUUUGAGCCAAGCUGUUUAUCGCAACAUAAUCUGUCAACCAUUUGUUAUUGUCAUGUAUAACACCCAUCCUUUGAGUUUCCAUCCUUUG
rnacentral:lncRNA from 1 species